rnacentral:rRNA from 1 species
UACGAAGGGGGCUAGCGUUGUUCGGAAUUACUGGGCGUAAAGCGCACGUAGGCGGACUAUUAAGUCAGGGGUGAAAUCCCGGGGCUCAACCCCGGAACUGCCUUUGAUACUGGUAGUCUCGAGUCCGGAAGAGGUGAGUGGAAUUCCGAGUGUAGAGGUGAAAUUCGUAGAUAUUCGGAGGAACACCAGUGGCGAAGGCGGCUCACUGGGCCGAUACUGACGCUGAGGAGCGAAAGCGUGGGGAGCAAACAGG